rnacentral:rRNA from 1 species
UACGUAGGGCGCAAGCGUUGUCCGGAAUUAUUGGGCGUAAAGAGCUCGUAGGCGGUUUGUCACGUCGGGUGUGAAAGCCCGGGGCUUAAACCCCCGGGUCUGCAUUCGAUACGGGCAGACUAGAGUGUGGUAGGGGAGAUCGGAAUUCCUGGUGUAGCGGUGAAAUGCGCAGAUAUCAGGAGGAACACCGGUGGCGAAGGCGGAUCUCUGGGCCAUUACUGACGCUGAGGAGCGAAAGCGUGGGGAGCGAACAGG